CUUGUACUCCCUCCAUCCGAAAAUACUUGUCAUUGAAAUGGAUGUAUCUAGAUGUAUUUUAGUUCUAGACACAUCCAUUUUGAUGACAAGUAAUUCCGGAUAGAGGAAGUACUUG
rfam:Triticum aestivum genome assembly, contig: Triticum_aestivum_CS42_TGACv1_scaffold_093217_2AL